rnacentral:lncRNA from 1 species
GUCCACGUGGCGAUCAUUGGCCAUGAGGUGCACUCUUGUAUUUUUUUUUCUUCUUUAAUGAUGGUAAUUUAUUAAUCCUAAGUUUGGAUUUGAUAAAAUAGAUUCAGAUUAUAAACAUACCAACCUAUCUAAACUUGUUUACUAAAUAAGUUAGAUUCAAAUUUAGAUAUUUAAGUCGGAUUAUGGCUCGAUCUAUCUAAUCCAUUUAAAACUUGUGAGGACCGGUCCAUUCACCGGCCCGUAUCCAAUUGGGCUAGUGGGCCAGCCCAAUGAAGUCAGCCAUUUGGAGUCCGCCACCUCGUCCUUAAGAGGAGGGGCAGAUGUCAAUAGAAGGGAGGUGUUGCUGCCAGGUGUUAAUACAGGGACAAUCGCUUAAAAACCUCUCGACACGUCGCUUAGAACCCCCCAAACGCCUUCCUUCCUCCUGGUACGCUCCCUCCCAAAUUCGGAGGCUGCCAGAUCUCAGCACCCCGUCGGCUGGACAUCUAUGCCGACAUCCCCG